GACGAACGCUGGCGGCGUGCUUAACACAUGCAAGUCGAACGGUGAAGCGCCUUCCUUUUUGGUGGGUGUGGAUGAGUGGCGAACGGGUGAGUAACACGUGAGUAACCUGCCCCCUUCUGCUGGAUAACCGCAUGAAAGUGUGGCUAAUACGGGAUAUUCUGGGUCUGUCGCAUGAUGGGUCUGGGAAAGAUAUUGUUUCGGUGGGGGAUGGGCUCGCGGCCUAUCAGCUUGUUGGUGGGGUGAUGGCCUACCAAGGCGGUGACGGGUAGCCGGCCUGAGAGGGUGGACGGCCACACUGGGACUGAGAGACGGACCAGACUCCUACGGGAGGCAGCAGUGGGGAAUAUUGCACAGUGGGCGCAAGCCUGAUGCAGCGACGCCGCGUGAGGGAUGGAGGCCUUCGGGUUGUGAUCCUCUUUCGCCAGUGAAGCAGGCCUGCCUCGUUUGUGGGUGGGUUGACGGUAGCUGGAGAAGAAGCGCCGGCUAACUACGUG
rnacentral:rRNA from 1 species